CAGCAUUCUGGGAGCCUGAGGCAAAGGAUCUAAUUUCAAGCCCAGCCUAGGCAAUUUAGUGACUUAGUUUGACCCUUUCUCAAAAAUUUUAAAAGGGGUGAGGAUGUAGCUCAGUAUGACGGUGAUGGGUUCAAUUUGUAUUAUAAAAAAAAAUUCAAGAUAAUGGUUUUUUGUUUGUUUUUUGAAACAGGGUCUUAUUAUAUAGUUCAGGCUGGCCUCGAACUCACAGUGAUCCUCCUGCCUCAGCCUCCUGAGUGCUGGGAUCACAGGCUAUCAAGCCAACCUCUGUACCCCCGAUGCCACCAGUCAAGCCUUGGGCUGAAGUAAUCACACCCGGAAGGACUCAGGGACUUGAUGGUACAAAGGUUCCCCUGAAGCCUCCAGUCCAGAGAAGAUGAUCGGGCAGAGCACCACAGGUGCAUCUGUGAGCCCAGGGAAGUUUGGAGGAGUCCCAGCAGGAGAGAGUGCUCCUCAGCAUCCCAGGGUCACCACCAGAGCCUCUCAGCUCAGGACUCAGGGCUGGACUGAGCUGCUCCUCUGACCUCAGGACUGCAUCAGACAGAUGCUCUUGCUGUCCAGCUGGGCUAAGACCAAUCCCUUCUCACCUGUGUUGGCCAUGCUUAGCCUGCUUUGUCUGCAGUGGCGAGGUUGAGAUAGGAGGUCACCUGGAGUGUGUAUGAAGACUGCUGUCCAGACAGCUACUGCCCCCGUGUGCUCAGAAGGCCCGGAGCUUCCCUCCCAGCCACCACUGCACCUGCUCUCGGGCUUAGCAGCCCGAGACCCCUCCAAGGUCAGGACAGCUCUCGUGGUUUCCUGUAAGGAGGGUGUCAAUAAGUGGAUUGUAUCUGCAUUGACUCCAACUAAACCCACGAUUUAAGAAGGAAUGUCUACUUUUUAGGAAUCACUGUCAUUUGAGGGGCAGAGCAGAUGGCUAUCUGGUUUCGAAACCUCAGGGGAUGAAAUCCAUUAAUAAUAAAGCUUGUAUUAUAUCAUUAAAGUAUGGACCACG
rnacentral:lncRNA from 1 species